GGACUACCAGGGUAUCUAAUCCCGUUUGCUCCCCUGGCUUUCGCGCAUCAGCGUCAGAAGAGGUCCAGCAGACCGCUUUCGCCACCGGCGUUCCUUCCGAUAUCUACGCAUUUCACCGCUCCACCGGAAGUUCCGUCUGCCCCUACCUCCCUCCAGCCCGCCAGUAUCAGGGGCCAUUUUCCGGUUGAGCCGAAAGAUUUCACCCCUGACUUGGCAAGCCGCCUACGCGCCCUUUAAGCCCAGUGAAUCCGAACAACGUUCGCACGGUUCGUCUUACCGCGGCUGCUGGCAC
rnacentral:rRNA from 2 species